AGCUUUCAGACAAACACAUUAGACUGGAUCAUAAUGGAAAAUAGAAUCUUCUAAAUCUGAAAUCACAAGUGUGCCAAGAAUUUAGGGACUGACUGUAUUUCUGGGAACCUCUCAGCUUGUGGUCAUUCUUCUGACCACCUUGGAUAUGACACCAGUAUCUUUCUAAAGGCCAUGAAUGCUCACAGGAAAUUCAGUCACUGAAGAUGAAUCAAAAGACUUACUGUUAUCUAGCAACAACAACAACAACAGCAAAACAAGGAAGAAAAGAAAGAUACGUCUGCUGCUCCACUCAAAACGUUACAACAUAUUAAACACAAUAUGCCCCUAAAAAAGAUAUGUGUAUGUAUUUUUGUAAUACUAGGAGAUUUUCAUGGGAUUUUUCCAUCUUUUCCCAUCUCCAUGGGAAGCAUAUGAUAUGAUUUCCUAAGAGAGCAAUCUGGAAUGAAUAUUUUAAUCAUCCUCCGGAGGCUAGAAUUUAUAGCACUUCUGAUAAAAUAAU
rnacentral:lncRNA from 12 species